rnacentral:rRNA from 1 species
UACGAAGGGGACUAGCGUUGUUCGGAAUCACUGGGCGUAAAGCGCACGUAGGCGGAUGUGUCAGUCAGGGGUGAAAUCCCGGGGCUCACCUCGGAACUGCCUUUGAUACAGCACGUCUCGAGUCCGGAAGAGGUGGGUGGAAUUCCUAGUGUAGAGGUGAAAUUCGUAGAUAUUAGGAAGAACACCGGUGGCGAAGGCGGCCCACUGGUCCGGUACUGACGCUGAGUGCGAAAGCGUGGGAGCAAACAGG